rnacentral:misc_RNA from 1 species
GAUGAAGAACGUAGCGAAGUGCGAUAAGUAAUGUGAAUUGCAGAAUACCGUGAAUCAUCGAAUCUUUGAACGCAAAUUGCACUCUCUGGUAUCCCGGGGAGUAUGCCUGUUUGAGGGUCAGUGUUAAUAAAAAUCGGUGCGUUGCACUUUAUUGUGACGUUCUGGAGUUUGAGUUAUCUUAACUUUUAGGUUAAGAGGCUUAAAAUUGACCUUUUUUUUGUGCAUUUUAGACGUACAUAAAUUUUCUUUUAUUUGUCUUUUAAUGCCAAAAUUAUAUUAGAUGCGACCAUAUCGUGUGGUUUCGUGUCUAUAAAUUUUUCAUGAUUUGACCUCAAAUCAGGUAGGAGUACCCGCUGAACUUAAGCAUAUCAAUAAGCGGAGAA